UGAAAUUCGAUGGCAGGGAUAAUAGAAAUCAGGUUAUGUGUGAAAUUGAUGUACAAAAUUUGUAAUUUUGUGUUACUAGAUACAAUAGUUAUAAUUUUAUGCUACAAAUGGCACAAUAACUAUAAUUUUGUACCAUUCACUCAAAUUUUAAUAUGCAAAAUGAGUUCUCAAGGUGGUGGUCAUCCCACAAACAGCAAGCCUAACAGGUCAGCAUCUCAUCCUACUUAUGAUUCCUGUAUAUGUUUUGAACUUUUUUAGUUUCUGAAAUUUGUACGAUAAUCAAUAUGCACAUUUGUUUUUAAAAAAACCCUAUAAAUGUUGGUUGCAGCACCUUAAAAGAAUUCCUCAUAUGGCACUGCAAUUCUGAAAAAUCCCCACGUGGGUUCGAGGUCUAUAUGUCAUUGAUAUAUUCGACGGCAUAUGAGGAAUUAGGAAAGUUUGCAGUGAUAAAUAAGGAAUUGCCAUAUUAAAUAUAUAGUACACUUCCUUCCACCGAAAAGGGGAAGAGAGAAAGAAAAUAAGGUAUACUCUGCAUCAGAAUGUCAUGCGCUGUCAAGUUUCCUUUACACUAAUAAUUGAAUAUAUUGGUUGAAACGGAUAAAAGUUCUCAAACUAUAAAAUUGAGCCAUUGGGGAAAGUGUUGAGGGUUAAUCUAUGAUAAUGAUUUCAGUAUAUCGGUAGAGGGGCGUGCGAAUAAUACUUAUGGUAUAUGUGUGUUUGUGUGUGUGAUGAACUCAAGAACACAAUAGUUAUUUAGAUUUAUGCCUCCUAAAGGAUAACAACCUUACGUCCUGUGUAUUUAGUUAUGAGUGUUUUUUAACUGGUUACAGAUCAGUCUCUUAGACUUAUCAUUCUUCGUCCCUCUAUAAACCGGGUCCUCCUCUCUUUAUAUAUUAGAGAAAAGAAUAACUUACAGGUGAGCCCUUUUUUACUGACUCAUAUAUUAGCUAAAUCUCCCACUCCUUGGCUAUUUAAAAUGAGCGACGCAUGUGUCCCUUUUUGUAAUUAAUAGUAUAAAUUUUUUCAUGAACUGACUAAAACUAAAAGAUUCAAAUAAGGAAAAAGGGAUUGAAGCAGCUGAGUCCAUCCCAUCCGCUGGACACCUCCACACCUAUGCCACCUCGAUCAGCCAGUAUGUCCUGUCCCAUCACUGAUCUCGCACGCGCACUUGUGAAGUAGUCUGAUAUGCCUGCGAGCUCGUCCUGUAACGUUUAAUGCUACGGGACGGGGCAUAGCACCACUGCUCUAGCCACGGCCUGUCUGUUGAGAAGGAGUGCCUAGGGAAGGAAAACACUGAGUGGAAUGUAUUUAAUGAGAAUAGACUGGUUUGAUGAGUGCCUAUCCCAUGACCAGUGAAGCCUAGUCGCAGGAAUCCCUUAUGUGGUAAGGAUCCUAGUCGCGAAGAUGCAGAUUGGUCACGCGGUAGGACCUUGGUUCGGGAAAGAAUCGUCUGCCACCUGGAUAUUGGUUGGUGUGGCCCUUAGGGAAUCCCUUAUUCUAUACACCGACAAUAGCCCUCAAGCUCCCUUGCGGAUAUGGUGAUUUGAGUGGUUCGCCACGUGGUCACGGAUGGACCUGGUUUGCCACCUGGGCCCUAGGUCAACAUGAGCUCACCCUAGGAGUGGCCAUCAACAUGGUCCACUUUCAUGGCGGGCUCACAAAACUGCAUCCCGAGGGGAGGUUUUAAACUUCCAAAGAGAUAGAGAGAGAGAAAUAUCAUGGGAGAGAGACAUUGAUUUUCGCUGGACCUAAGGGAAUUUUAGCCCCCAAAACAUGACCUUUCGAAUUUUGAGACGUUGAGCCCCACCUGACAGUUGGGAUAUCGUGCUGGCCCUAUAAAAUGAAAAGCAAAAGCUUGCCCAUGAAUCCUUUCGCCAUCCCCCACAGCUUUCAAGCCCUUAUGCUUAGAGCCCAUCGUCUUCAUCUCCACUUGUAUUUCCGUAGCCACCCCCGUCGCUCUCAAUGGCGCCGCGCACCAGUAAAGAGCCAAAAUUUCCCAAUUCUAAGUGCACUGCGACGAAGCUGAAGCAGAUGUAUGACAACUGUCUGCUCCCUUGCCGCCUUUCUUCUGGGUACCACCCGAGGGAGGACGUGUCUGCUCCCCAUAAGGGGGAGAUCAUGUUGUUUGCCUCUUUCUUCUUGGCCGGCCUUGUGUCGCCUUUUUCUGAAUUCUUCACCACUGCCAUCUCCUUCUACGAUAUCUGCUACCUCCAUCUCAAUCCCAAUUCCAUCAUCAUGCUAAGCGUCUUUGCUCACAUGUGAGAGAACUUCAUUGGGGUCGAGCCAUACCUCGAUCUCUUCAGAUACUUUUAUACGGUCAGGUUGCAGACCAGGCAGGCCACCGGGAGCUGCGGAUUCCUUCUUCACGACGACAUGGUAAGUCAUCAUGGUCGGGCUGGAGGAAAGAUUGGUUCUACCUCAAGAUGGAGGAUUCUUUAGACAAUAUCCGUGUGCCGAACAGACCGGCAUAGGUCUUCGAGAACUGGGGGAACUCCCUCGUGACUACUCCGGAGCUAUUGAGCCUUGCAGCCCAGGUAAAAAACCUUGCGAAUGUCAGGCUAACCAGAUCAUAUGUUGCCCGUGACUUCAUCAAGAGCUGAUUGUGCCCUUUGCGGAAAAGAGCACAUCUGGCAUACAAGUACACCGAGAGUGAUGACGUCACCAGGGAGAGCUCUUUAGGUAAUAUCGUAACUAUUUCCAUAGCACUAUUUGUUUAUUCGUGCAAUGUCUUAAGUAUCCCUCUUAUGUAGAUCUCUCUGACGAGAUUGUUGAGUCACGAGUCAAAUUCCUCAUGGCGGCAUUCCCAAGGAAGGAUGGUCCGUUGCGAGACGCUCCUCCAUUGUGUGACCUCUCCCCGUCGGAGAGGGCUUGGCUCAGAUUGGUAUGUUUGACAUUUUCUAGGAACUUCCAUCUUCAAGUCUUCUCCUAGGUCAGGGUUUCAUGGUUUGCAUCACCGCAGGGUCUUCCUGAGGUCGAUGUCUUGUGUUUGAUAAUCGAUAAGAUCACGGAGAUCGCUCAAGAAGUUGAUAUUGCUACCAGCAUGCCUUCUCCGCCUCCCAGUGCUGCUCCAGCCGGCCACCCAUCUGGUCACGAUGUCAGCCCAGCUGGUAGAGGAGGCGACCGGACUACUCAGAGUCGGGUAGUGGUUACGGGCGAUGCCGAUCUGCAGAGGGUGGAUCAGCAUCACCCCAAUCAGACUCACUCCGACUAGGCAUGCCUCGACCAGACCAGGAGUGGUCAGGCCACCGCCGGCGUAGUGCUGACACAAGGGGGGAAGAGAUCGGCGGAGGGCUCGUCUACCGCGGAGGCAUCCAAAUGUGCUCGCGGGACGUCGAGCUCCGACGGCUCGACUACUGGACUGCCCUCCCUAACAAGCAGACUCAGUGGCUUUAUGUGGACCAGACUUGUGCUCAGCACUCUGCGGCCACGGUAAGGUUUUUGGUUAGGUGUAGAUACUUCGAGUUUUCUUUCUUUUCCUGAUUUCAUAAAUCUGUUGUCACCGCAGGUCCUCGACCCUGCUCAUGGCUCUGGUUGUAACCCUCCACCAGUUCCUCAGCAACAUGUUUCGCCCCCCCAUCCUGCAGCAGCUCUGACCUCGGGAGCAUCGAUUGUGGCUCCCCGCACCUGUUGAGCCGAUCGUGAAGCCCGUUUCAGCCUCCGACCUGCUCUCUCUGGCCACCCGCUUCCCGGCCUCUAUCUGCAUGUUGAUUAACGAUAAGGAAGCAGCUGCCAGCAGGUGCGUUGAACUGGAGAGGUGGCAACUGGCUAAAGAAAAGGUGGCGUGGCUCGUGCUCCAACAGAAGUGUGGUGAGCUCCAGCGAGAAAAAGCCACGCUUGCAGCCGAACACACUCAGCUCAGGGAGGACAAGAGCGUCACUCAUAGCAUUCUCCAAGAUGCUUUUAAGACGUACAAGGAGCCUCUGAGGAGCCUUGAGCUAGAGAUCAUCGAUCCAAAAGACCCGUGCACAGCCCAGGCCUUGGCAUAUGCCACCAAGGUUCUCUCGGAAAAGUUUUUCGAUCUCUCAGGUAUUUUGGCGGCAAGGUGUGCCAAGGAUGUGGCGCAGGCAGUGAGGGAUGUAGCGAGGUAUGUCCUCCAGUUCUACAGGAACCACAAUCCCAACUUCAACCUCGACCUCAUUCGAGAGGGGGUUGCAGUAGCUGGGCCCGUAGCCGAGGAGAAACUGCAUGAGGAGUGCGAAGGGGCGGUGGACUAUGUGUGAUUCAUCUUUCAGGUGGAGGCCACUAAGGAGUAAAUAUCAAACUGUAAUUUAGGUUAUGUAUUAUAUUGGAUGAAACUUUUUGAUUUCUCUAAUGAAUUUUGUUGUUGCCACCCUGAUCGUAGAAGCACCAAAAUGACUGAAACUCCCUCUCACUCCAAGCCCCCAGCCGCACCUACCGAUGACGCCCACAACCUGUGCCGCCUGGAAGUGGCAUGACCAGAACUGGCCAACCCACCUACUCGCCUCGAACCCCCGACAACAUUUAUUGAAGAUUCCAUUGCCCGGCGUAUCCAGAAAACGGUGACUGAAUGCGAGCUGGGAUUUGCGAUCGAGCGAGAGAACCUGCAUGGUGAUAUUCAAGGUGCGUUGGUCCUAGCACCACUUAGCCACGUGUUAGUCCUAGGCCAACCGAGUGAGGUCCGAUCGGCUGGCUUCUGUGUGAUUUACGACAUGUUUCAUUGACCAACUUGUCGGGAGGAGCUGCUCGUGACACGGAGAGACCUAGAGCAAAUGGCCAGAGAAAAUGACCAGUGGCGGAAUAUUUCUACGAUUGCCCCAGCCAAGCUUUUACACCCUUUGACUUGCUGCUAUGGUCCACUGGUGUUUUGGUUCGCCCAACACCUGGAGGCACCGUGACUGAUCAUGUCGACUAGUUUUGGUGGCCUUCGAGGAGGCGAGCGGCCUUGAGGACAGGCUACGCGUGACUGUGGGUGACCACUUGGUGGAUGUCGGAGCCAGUGGCAAAGCUAGAGGAAAAUAAAGGGGGGUGCACCACUUCAUAGGUUUGGCCUGUUAGAUGGUUGUUGGGCUUGCCAUGCUGGACGGUUGGGCCUGUGGGUGCAUGAUUUUGGGCCAUAGGGGGUGCAUGUAUGGUGAAAAUGGUAUAGAAACAACUGAAAUUUUAUUUUGACGUGGGUGCAUCUGCAUCCACACGGGCCAAUUUGGCUUCGCCCAUGGUCGGAGCCACCGACGCCUGUCUUGCCCUGGCCUGCGUCCACGAGCACCUUCUGGAUACAAACCUUAUCUUGAUAGUCUCCAAAGGCUUUGCCGGUGCCACGAAGACCAUCGAGGAGCUCCGUGAAUUCGCAGACUCAUAUUUUCUCGUUGUUCACUCCCUUCUUUGGUUUGUCCAGUUUGAUGCAUUACCAUAUAUUUUCGGGUAUCGUGUAUGCUGAAUAGACUAUUUAGAUCUAGCCCCCGAGAGUUGCCCGGGUGGUCGCCUUGUAAUGGAAGGACCAGUCUUUGUGUAAAUUUUUCCUGUGUUCGAGUGAUGAGUAGGUUCGGGGUGCUUGCUAGCAAGGUUCCUGGCGCUUAAGAUGACCCUUAGCACGACGAGCCUAUCGGGGGCGAUCAGCGCUCAACCCGAUUUAGGACUCAUGGCCUCCACGGAUACUCCGCAGAGGUGCCGUAUCCCCGUCCAGGACUUGUAUGGGACAGGGAUACGCAAGGAUACGCAGGGGAUACACAAGGAUACGACCUGGCCCCCAUGUGUGAGGGUUUUGAGAGGAGCACUUGCCCCUGGUCACUGGAAGCAAAGUGGAGCCGCCUCUCCUCUCCGCCGCCUCUCCUCGCCACCGCCGUCGCACAGGCGCGCCGCCCCUCCUCCUCUCCGCCGUCACCGCACACGCGUGCCGUAGCCCCUCCUCUCCGCCGCCGCCGCACACGCGCACAGAGCAGGCGCGUCGCCGCCUGCGGCGGUCCGUGGCCGUGAGCUGUUCGCCCCGCGCCGCCGCCGCCCCUUGGUGCAGGCAGGUAAGGCGCGCCGCUCCUCUCCCCAGGAGGCCAGGACAGAGCAGGUAAGGCGCAUCGCCCCUCCCUUCCAUCUUCCUCUACUAGGACUAGGAGCUGAGGGAUCGCAGUGGCAUCAAGUGGAAGUGGAAGUGGAACAGGAACACGAUCCUCUGUUGGUAGUCAUGAAACAAAAAAUGAAGAAACUGAGUAUAGAAACCCCAAAUAUCCAUUGUGGGCUCAUGUUACCAGAUUUGUGACACCCGGCCGUGGAGGCAAUGUGAGAUUUAGGUGUCAUUUUUAUGAAAAAGAUUAUCCGGGUAGCUAUUCAAGAGUGAGGUCUCAUCUUCUAAAGGUGAGAAAUACGGGUGUUGCAAUUUGUGAGAAGAUUUCAUACCCUAUCCUUGAGCAACUUCGCAAGGAAGACCGUGAAGCUACAGAGGUUGCAACAAAUAGUGCCCCUAGGAAUAAGCUACUUCGCUUACCCUCUUUUGAAGAUUCAGGCUUGCCACCAUUAUCAAAGAAAAUAAAAGAGAAGCAAUCAGAGAUUUCAGAAAGUUUUAACGCUGAAACCCGACGCAUUGUCGAUGGUCAUAUUGCAAGAUUGUUCUACACUGCAGGGCUUCCCUUCAAUGUGGCAAGGAACCCCAAUUAUCGGGCAUCUUACAAUUUUGUUGCAAAGAACAAAAUGGGUGGUUAUGUGCCCCCGAGAUAUAAUGCAUUGAGGACAACUCUUCUCCAAAAAGAGAAGGCACAUGUUGAGAGGAUGCUUCAACCUAUCAAAUCCACAUGACCCUUCAAAGGAGUGACUAUUGCAGCUAAUGGGUGGAUUGAUCCACAAAGGUGCCCAAUUUUAAUUUUUAUAGCUGUGACAAAGGGUGCUCCAAUUUUCCUAAAAUCAAUUGACUCCGAAGGAGAGAACUCUUGAUAGGUGAAAAGCAAGGAAUAUAUCUUCGAUAGGUUGAAGGAGGUGAUAGAGGAAGUUGGAUCAAAGAAUGUGGUCCAAGUGAUCACUAACAAUGCGGCAAAUUGCAAAGCCGCCGGAUUGAUGAUUGAAUCAAAAUACAAGAACAUCUUUUGGACUCCUUGCGUUGUGCACACCCUCAACCUUGCAUUGAAGAAUAUUUGUGCUCCAAAGGACAAUGAAGGCAACAAUAAAGAACUUGUUUGGAUCAAGCACAUCUCAGAAGAUGCCUCCUAUAUCAAGAAUUACAUCAUGAAUCAUGGCAUGAGGUUGUCCAUGUUCAAUGAGUUUACCAAACUCAAGUUUCUUGUAGUUGCAAAAACAAGAUUUGCUAGUGUCAUUGUCAUGUUGAAGAGGUUCUUUCUUAUCAAGGAAGCAUUGGUGCUCAUGGUUGUUGGUGACAAGUGGAUGGCUUAUAGGGAGGACGAUCCAACCAAAGCUCAAGCGGUGAAGGAAAAGAUUCUCAAUGAUAUAUGGUGGGAUCAAGUUAAAUACAUUGUUGAUUUCAUCGAUCCCAUUUAUUCAAUGCUACGGGCAGCUGACAUGGACAAGUCAUGUCUCCAUUUGGUCUAAGAGAUGUGGGACUCCAUGAUAGAGAAGGUAAGAGCUUGUAUCUAUCGGAAGGAGGGAAUUGUGGACGGUGGUACAAGUGUCUUUUUUGAUGUUGUUCAAAGCAUUUUACUAUCUAGGUGGGGGCAAGAGUAAUACUCCUCUCCAGUGUUUGGCACACUCGCUAAAUCCAAGGAAAGCAUCCCUUGUUUGUCUAACACCAGCACUACCACUACCUUUUAUGGGGGGCUACAUGGACCUUUGUUCUGCAGUAAUACUGGGAUCUUACUAUACUGAAUGAAGAUAAUGUUUGCUUGGCAAAGCUCUAGCAGCUUCCGAGUUGAGCUCAGCCAAAUCUAAAUUGAGGGUCAGAGUUCUCUGCUGGCAAACUUCAUAUCUUUGGCUAUCUACAUGAACUCAACACAGGUACUGGGACGAGUGGAUUGUUGUCUGUGCAAGUCAAUAGUUAUAACAGAUCGUUGUUUGACAUGUGCUGUCAAAGUUGUCAAGUGGUGCUGUAUAAUUAGUGAAAACAAAAUUGUCGUGAACUUACUUUCAGACGGUCCACACAUGCAAAAAUAUCUUUCAGUAAGCCGAGGUUCAGCACCUUAUUGAUCCCAUUUUAUACAGAAAGGGAUACUGUCAUCAAGCUCCUUGUGUUUGUUAAACGACGUAUACUUAGGUGGAGCAUAUUCGCUAGCUGUGACACCUUAUUCAUUCUUCUAAUUGUUAACGUCAGAAUGACCCUUUGAUUAAAGGAGCUAGAAUAUGUCCCUCUUUUGUUUUGAAGGAAAAGCAUCUGGUUUCCAAUAGCAACUUCUUUUUUUUUGAAAAGACGGCAUGAUGUCUGCUGAUUUUAUUAGUCUAAGAAGAAAAUCAAGAGUUUAAUGAAAGAAAAGGAAGAUAGAGAUACAAGAUCAACCACGCCGCAGAAUGACAAAAAGAAACGACUAGAAGGGGGGAAACAACGCCAAAGACAUAAAACAAGCUAAGCUCGAUCUACUGCUAUAUGAUAUUGACUGUAAUCUUCUUUAAUUUUAAAGGCCACAACCAACGCCAAUGAGGUUGUAUUUUGAAAGA